GGGUGUAUAGUUCAGCGGUAAAGUGAAGAUUGAAAGGUCUCCGGUUCAAACCCGGAUGUUCUCU